UAGUCCACGCCGUAAACGAUGGUCACUAGUUGUUGGGGCUUUAUGCCUCAGUGAUUAAGCGAAAGUGAUAAGUGACCCACCUGGGGAGUACGAUCGCAAGAUUGAAACUCAAAGGAAUUGACGGGGGCCCGCACAAGCGGUGGAGCAUGUGGUUUAAUUCGAUGAUACGCGAGGAACCUUACCAGGGCUUAAAUGUAAGUUGCAUAGACCAGAGAUGGUCUUUUCUUCGGACUACUUACAAGGUGCUGCAUGGUUGUCGUCAGCUCGUGCCGUGAGGUGUCAGGUUAAGUCCUAUAACGAACGCAACCCCUAUCGCUAGUUACCAGCGGGUAAUGCCGGGGACUCUAGUGAGACUGCCUGCGCAAGCGGUGAGGAAGGUGGGGAUGACGUCAAGUCAUCAUGGCCUUUAUGCCUAGGGCUGCACACGUGCUACAAUGGUCGGUACAACGGGCUGCCACUUCGCGAGAAGGAGCUAAUCCUAAAAGCCGGCCUCAGUUCGG
rnacentral:rRNA from 1 species